UUUAUAGCUCAGUGGCAGCAUCGUAGCCAAUGAGGUUUAUCCGAGGCACGAUUAUUGCUAAUUGAAAACUUUUCUCAUGUUUUAGAUUUAAAAACUAGCCACUUACAGAGCUUUUUGACUCAUGAGUUUUGAUCAAAUCUCUUUG